CCUACGGGAGGCAGCAGUGAGGAAUAUUGGUCAAUGGGCGGAAUCCUGAACCAGCCAUGCCGCGUGCAGGACGACGGCUCUACGAGUUGUAAACUGCUUUUGUACGGGGGUAACACGCCCUACGAGUAGGGUUUUGCAUGUACGGUACGAAUAAGGACCGGCUAACUCCGUUCCAGCAGCCGCGGUAAUACGGAGGAUCCGCGCGUUAUCCGGAUUUAUUGGGUUUAAAGGGUGCGUAGGUUGUAUGUUAAGUUAGCUGUGAAAUACCCGGGCUCAACAUGGGGGUUGCAGCGGAAACUGUAGGGCUAGAGAACGGGUGAAGCAGGCGGAAUGCGUAGUGUAGCGGUGAAAUGCAUAGAUAUGACGAAGAACACCGAUUGCGAAGGCAGCUUGCUGGAGCGGAACUGACGCUGAUGCGCGAAAGCGUGGGGAUCGAACAGGAUUAGAUACCCUGGUAGUC
rnacentral:rRNA from 1 species